UUUGUUUUCAGAGUAUUGAUGUUGGGGAAGUUUUUAUCACUGCUUUUUGGUUGUAUUUAUAUAAGAAGUAUGGAGGGAGCUGGAACUAAUUUGUGAUUUCUCCUGACCAUUUUUUUUCUUCUAAAAAGAGCAAGUUUACCGGUGAUCAAACAUUGUAGAUCAGAAAUGUUCUUCAUCGAUGCCCAUCCCAAUUGCUAACAAUUCUUUUGCACACUCAAGUUGCCAAAUAUAGUACGAAGGAACUAUAGCAAGUGAAUUGUUGAGUUUGCCAAGCAUAAUGGCACACCUAAUUUUGGCAGAUCAUAUAAAGAGAAUAUCGAGCAAAGAUGCUUUGAGAUUUACCCAUGACUAUAUGCGGUUCCUAUAAUUAAACUCCUGUUGCAUGUUUAAUGAUUGCCACAAUAGUUUCUUUUAAUGCACCAGAGAAUUAUAUUUUUUGUAUCAGGUAAAUAAUUCUUUUCUCACUGUUAUUUUUCCAGAUCAAGAUCGAGAUAUAGACAAGGGGUAAUGGCAGCUCGUGUAGUGAUAGAGUGCUGGGGAGGCUGCCGGUGUCGUUGCCUAGCGCUGGGGAGGCUGCUGAACAAGUUUAUCUAUUUGUCGUGUGAGCAGUUGGCCAUCUCUUAUUCUGUGGGGAUAUGGUCCGUUUGUAUUCUUCUAAUUAAUUCGGUUCACAAUUCUAGCCGAUGAAAUUUGGUCUACAUUUAUGUGUACGUAUGCUAUCCUAUAUACUGGAACUUGUGCUUGCCCAUUAUAUGAUUAUACAACAAGUAGACAAAUGCAAAUGUCCAUAGUAAUAAACUUGUGGUCACAUGACUACUAGCUUAAAGUUUGUUAGAUUAUGUAAAUGGGCAUUUUUUUUGUCUGCUCUUUAGGUUUCCAUAGCAUGAGGUGGUGCUCUUGCUUUUAAAAACACAUAUAAACUGCCAUCUAUACUGAACAAUGGGGCUUCCUGUCUAAACUGGAGCAGUAAUUUGAGGCUGAAAGGACCAACAUUAGCAGCAAUAGUAUAAAUAUCCAUUAGAAGAGUUUUCUGCACUGAGUCCGUGGGUCUCACAAAGAUAUAAGAUAUAUAGAAUGUUGUAAAGAUCAGCUUACCUUCUCAUGCAAUGGAACAAUUGUGUGUCUUGAUCUUUCCCGUUUUCUUUGGUUUUGCAGCCUAGAAUUUUUAGACAUGCACAUAUAGAUUGGAGCAUCUAAUAGUAGUUGAAAAUGUUUUUGAGUAAAAAUGCAACUAAUACUCAAUUUUCUAGGACUUGAUACAUCAUGGUCUUCUUGUGCUUUGUUGUUUGGUUGGUGUAGAAUCCCUCAGCUCUUACCAAGAGGCCCUAGCUUCGAACCUGACUCUUUUAGUAGUUGGAGUGUUGCACACAUGGAAUUGAUCGCAGAGAGGAAGCGAAGCAGCAACAGUUUGGGUUCAGAGAAGAUUAGGAGCAGCAGUUCAUUGGAGAAGGAGAGGUACAGCAGCCGAGGGAAGCAACAGAGAGCAGAAUCAGCAGUUCAGGGGCGGCAGCAGAGGACCAGAAGUAGAGAUGAGUUCGAUUCAAUUGCCAUUGAUAAUGAUUCAGAUUUGAGUUUGCACCACCCUUGUGUUACUAAAUAGUUUGUCCUUUUUCACUUGUGAUUAUGCACUAGAGAUUUGCAAGGAUGCAUUGGAUUCUUUUUAUACUGAUUUGAUGCACUCUGACUUUGGAAUGCGAACAAAUGUGAUCUUCAA